rnacentral:rRNA from 1 species
CCUACGGGUGGCAGCAGUGGGGGAUAUUGCACAAUGGGGGAAACCCUGAUGCAGCGACGCCGCGUGAGUGAAGAAGUAUUUCUGUAUGUAACGCUCUAUCAGCAGGGAAGAAAAUGACAGUACCUGACCAAGAAGCCCCGGCUAACUACGUGCCAGCCGCCGCGGUCAUACGUAGGGGGCAAGCGUUAUCCGGAUUUACUGGGUGUAAGGGGAGCGUAGACGGUUAUGUAAGUCUGGAGUGAAAGCCCGGGGCCCAACCCCGGGACUGCUUUGGAAACUGUGUAACUGGAGUACAGGAGGGGCAGGCGGAAUGCCUUGUGGAGCGGGGAAAUGCGUAGAUAUCAGGAGGAACACCGGCGGCGAAGGCGGCCUGCUGGACUGAAACUGACGUUGAGGCUCGAAAGCGUGGGGAGCAAACAGGAUUAGAUACCCGAGUAGUC